rnacentral:lncRNA from 1 species
AUGAUUAAUAUAUAUUACCAUUUAUUCAAUGAUUUAAUGAAAACAAAUAUAGAAAUGAACAAAGAAAAGAGACUUAAUCGUGGACCAGUGAUGAUGAUCGUGAUGGGAAGAGUCCUAAAUGAUGAAAACAUGUCUCAGACUCUGAGGUCCAACACAGAGUGCUUGUCACCGUGGGCUAAUGUAAGGCUUCCUCGUGGUCAUGAAUUCUGUGGUUGCAUUUGAUGUGUUAAGGGUUAGGAGAACAAAAUGCUGAAACUGAUUUUAGCCUCUGUUGUCACCAAGACUGUGAGACCAAGGUGAGUAAUGGUCAACAUUAUUGUCUUGAACUGGAUCAUCUGUUUAAGGGUAUUUACAGUAUU